UGGGGAAUUUUGGACAAUGGGCGAAAGCCUGAUCCAGCAAUGCCGCGUGUGUGAAGAAGGCCUUCGGGUUGUAAAGCACUUUUGUCCGGAAAGAAAUCCUUGGCUCUAAUACAGUCGGGGGAUGACGGUACCGGAAGAAUAAGCACCGGCUAACUACGUGCCAGCAGCCGCGGUAAUACGUAGGGUGCAAGCGUUAAUCGGAAUUACUGGGCGUAAAGCGUGCGCAGGCGGUUUGCUAAGACCGAUGUGAAAUCCCCGGGCUCAACCUGGGAACUGCAUUGGUGACUGGCAGGCUAGAGUAUGGCAGAGGGGGGUAGAAUUCCACGUGUAGCAGUGAAAUGCGUAGAGAUGUGGAGGAAUACCGAUGGCGAAGGCAGCCCCCUGGGCCAAUACUGACGCUCAUGCACGAAAGCGUGGGGAGCAAACAGGAUUAGAUACCCUGGUAGUCCACGCCCUAAACGAUGUCAACUAGUUGUUGGGGAUUCAUUUCCUAGUAACGUAGCU
rnacentral:rRNA from 1 species